rnacentral:rRNA from 1 species
UACGGGGGAUGCAAGCGUUAUCCGGAAUGAUUGGGCGUAAAGCGUCCGCAGGUGGCUAUGUAAGUCUGCUGUUAAAGAGUCUGGCUCAACCAGAUAAAGGCAGUGGAAACUACAUGGCUAGAGUGCGUUCGGGGCAGAGGGAAUUCCUGGUGUAGCGGUGAAAUGCGUAGAGAUCAGGAAGAACACCGGUGGCGAAAGCGCUCUGCUAGGCCGCAACUGACACUGAGGGACGAAAGCUAGGGGAGCGAAUGGG